rnacentral:rRNA from 1 species
UACGGAGGGGGCGAGCGUUAUUCGGAAUUAUUGGGCGUAAAGGGCGCGUAGGCGGCCUGAUAAGUCAAAGGUGAAAUCCCUCGGCUCAACUGAGGAAUUGCCUUUGAAACUGUCAGGCUUGAGGCCGGGAGGGGGUGGCGGAAUUCCCAGUGUAGCGGUGAAAUGCGUAGAUAUUGGGAGGAACACCAGUGGCGAAGGCGGCCACCUGGACCGGUUCUGACGCUGAUGCGCGAAAGCGUGGGGAG